AAAUUGAAGAGUUUGAUCAUGGCUCAGAUUGAACGCUGGCGGCAGGCCUAACACAUGCAAGUCGAACGGUAACAGGAAGCAGCUUGCUGCUUCGCUGACGAGUGGCGGACGGGUGAGUAAUGUCUGGGAAACUGCCUGAUGGAGGGGGAUAACUACUGGAAACGGUGGCUAAUACCGCAUAACGUCGCAAGACCAAAGAGGGGGACCUUCGGGCCUCUUGCCAUCAGAUGUGCCCAGAUGGGAUUAGCUUGUUGGUGAGGUAACGGCUCACCAAGGCGACGAUCCCUAGCUGGUCUGAGAGGAUGACCAGCCACACUGGAACUGAGACACGGUCCAGACUCCUACGGGAGGCAGCAGUGGGGAAUAUUGCACAAUGGCGCAAGCCUGAUGCAGCCAUGCCGCGUAUGAAGAAGGCCUUCGGGUUGUAAAGUACUUUCAGCGGGGAGGAAGGUGUUGUGGUUAAUAACCGCAGCAAUUGACGUUACCCGCAGAAGAAGCACCGGCUAACUCCGUGCCAGCAGCCGCGGUAAUACGGAGGGUGCAAGCGUUAAUCGGAAUUACUGGGCGUAAAGCGCACGCAGGCGGUCUGUCAAGUCGGAUGUGAAAUCCCCGGGGCUCAACCUGGGAACUGCAUUCGAAACUGGCAGGCUUGAGUCUUGUAGAGGGGGGUAGAAUUCCAGGUGUAGCGGUGAAAUGCGUAGAGAUCUGGAGGAAUACCGGUGGCGAAGGCGGCCCCCUGGACAAAGACUGACGCUCAGGUGCGAAAGCGUGGGGAGCAAACAGGAUUAGAUACCCUGGUAGUCCACGCCGUAAACGAUGUCUACUUGGAGGUUGUGCCCUUGAGGCGUGGCUUCCGGAGCUAACGCGUUAAGUAGACCGCCUGGGGAGUACGGCCGCAAGGUUAAAACUCAAAUGAAUUGACGGGGGCCCGCACAAGCGGUGGAGCAUGUGGUUUAAUUCGAUGCAACGCGAAGAACCUUACCUGGUCUUGACAUCCACAGAAGAAUCCAGAGAUGGAGUUGUGCCUUCGGGAACUGUGAGACAGGUGCUGCAUGGCUGUCGUCAGCUCGUGUUGUGAAAUGUUGGGUUAAGUCCCGCAACGAGCGCAACCCUUAUCCUUUGUUGCCAGCGGUCCGGCCGGGAACUCAAAGGAGACUGCCAGUGAUAAACUGGAGGAAGGUGGGAUGACGUCAAGUCAUCAUGGCCCUUACGACCGUGGCUACACACGCUACAAUGGCGCAUACAAAGAGAAGCGACCUCGCGAGAGCAAGCGGACCUCAUAAAGCGUCGUAGUCCGGAUUGAGUCUGCAACUCGACCUCCAUGAAGUCGGAAUCGCUAGUAAUCGUGGAUCAGAAUGCCACGGUGAAUACGUUCCCGGGCCUUGUACACACCGCCCGUCACACCAUGGGAGUGGGUUGCAAAAGAAGUAGGUAGCUUAACCUUCGGGAGGGCGCUUACCACUUUGUGAUUCAUGACUGGGGUGAAGUCGUAACAAGGUAACCGUAGGGGAACCUGCGGUUGGAUCACCUCCUUACCUGAAAGAAGC
rnacentral:rRNA from 1 species